rnacentral:rRNA from 1 species
AAAUGAAUUGACGGGGGCCCGCACAAGCGGUGGAGCAUGUGGUUUAAUUCGACGCAACGCGAAGAACCUUACCAAGGCUUGACAUGGCAUUGACCAGCGCGGAGACGCGCUCUCCCCUUCGGGGGCAGUGCACACAGGUGGUGCAUGGUUGUCGUCAGCUCGUGUCGUGAGAUGUUGGGUUAAGUCCCGCAACGAGCGCAACCCUUAUGUUCAGUUGCCAUCAGGUAAAGCUGGGCACACUGGAGAGACUGCCGUGGACAACACGGAGGAAGGUGGGGAUGAUGUCAAAUCAUCAUGCCCCUUAUGUCUUGGGCUACACACGUGCUACAAUGGUUCAUACAACGUGACGCAAAGCAGCGAUGCUAAGCGAAACACCAAAAAGAGCCCCAGUUCGGAUUGCAGGCUGCAACUCGCCUGCAUGAAGUUGGAAUCGCUAGUAAUCGCGGAUCAGCAUGCCGCGGUGAAUACGUUCCCGGGCCUUGUACACACCGCCCGU